rnacentral:lncRNA from 1 species
AGAUGAAAAAAAUGAAGUUAGUUAAUGGAUUGUUUCAUUUCCUGGUGAUGAAGCAAUCUGAUUGACACCUCAGUGAUACACUCUCUGCAGUAGGAAACUUUACAGAAAUAAUGGCCUUUGAUAGAUCCUGUUUCCAAAGCUACAUAAAUGGACAGCCUCCUCCUCCUGCUCAGAGUUACAUUAUCGUCGUCCAUUCUGACUAAGUGCAUUUGUCACUAUGCUUCUGUGCAUGGAGACAACACUGCCCACCUCUGUGAAACUAGUGUAACUUGAGUGAGUCAUUUGUUCCAACCUUCAAAGGAAAUGAAACUUCUGGAACCCCGUACUGAUCUCAUGAUGACUUUAUCUUCCACACAACGUGCUCUUAGUUUUGUUAGCUAUGGGGAAAUAAAUCAGCUUACUUUAGUAAAUAAAAUACUUUAAGGAGAGUGUGAAAAGGUUUGCAUGAAAGUUGUUACUCAAAAAUAUAUUUAAUAUUAUGGUCUAUAUCUCAUGUUUUGUUUUCGUUGUUUUUUAUUUUUUAUUUAAGUCUGGACUCACAGUUACAGAUUUGGAAUAGAAAUAGAACUUGUCACCAAUGACUAUUGCGUGAUGGACAUUUUCUAGUAUUUAUCUUUUUUCCUUUUUCCUCCUGCCUCCUCUCCUCACUGCUUUUGCCUCAUGCCAGAGUGGAGAUGGUUGUCAGCGACUGUGUAAACAGGAUGAUGCCCAUUCAAUGCAUGGCUCCUCCCCGAGUUUGUUCCAUCCUUCUUGUCUGUGUCUCUUAGAAUAACUGGCCCAUGUCAUCAGUACACAGGGUUUGGGAGUGUGCUCCUUCAUGAGUGUAGGAAGUGGGAAUUUCAGCUCCAUUUCCCUCAGAGCCCAUGACUUGGAAGCACAGAGGAAACAAGGACUAGAGUUUCUCUGGUCAGACACGUUUGAUUCCCAAACGGUUCUUAACCUUAUUUGUAUUCCAUGUCAGUAUCACUUCACAUCCGCUUUGACCCCAAACCAAGAGUUAUUUAGAACAACAAUAAGUUUGUUGCAAACACAUUCUCCUUACUUACCAGAGGAUCUCAGUGCAGACUCGGUAAAUGGGCACUCAUUUGGCACAAAAGCAUUGGGCUGUUUCCCUUUCAUCCAACACUCCCUUAGAUUGCAAAAAUGAAGAUAUUCCAAAUUAAAAUGGAGACAUUAUGUCCAUUGUUAAGUAGAUUUAAUAAAUGUCUAAAUUUCUUUAACGCAGCAUUCCAAUUACAAAAAAUAAUUACAUUUUACCCAUAGACUUAUGUUGGUUUUUUAUUAUUUGAUUCAUUUGGAGCAAUCUCUUUGGCAAAAUGGUGAACCUGUUACUAGGAUCUAGUCACUAGUUUGAAAUGACUAAAUUAGAGUCCCUAGUAAUCUUUCUCUCACACCUACUAAUUCAAGAAGCUCAACAGAAUGAAGCAAACCCCAGACUUCCUUUCCUGCAGGGAGUAGUGGACUUGGUGUCUUUAGAGGGCAAUACAUGAACUUGCAAUAUAGGGGCCGUGUCUGGCUCACACUACACCUACAGAAGGAAGAGCAUCAACUCUCCUUAUCUUGAUUGGAGUCUGUACACAGUAGCAACAGUGCUGGACUGUGAAGGAGAUAGCAAAGAUACAUUACCUCCUACCCUCCCUCCCCCCGCCCAUUGCUGGGUUAGCUGUCUUUGUCUUUGUUCCUCAGUCUUCAUCUCAUGAAGUGAUGGGUGCUGUUUCUGUCUUUGUCACUCAAACCAUUGUCAGUUCUCCGUCCACAUAUGUCAAGAUACCUAGUGGUCACUGUGCUUGGGCAUGCAGUAGUUAUCCUACACAUUGGCUGAGUACAGGGGCUAUGGAAUUGGCACGUUUACCUAAGUAUCCAGUAGUUUAUCAGUUGGCUUUUUUAAUGCUGUUCUCUGUGGAUAGACUGGAGCUCUGUUCCUGAAUGGUUUUGUGUUAAGGACGUGAGACGAGACUUUAAGAAAUAGAAGAGUCUCUAUGAACAGAUAAUUUUAGAAAAAUGGUUCUUAAAACAAACUCUGAGCUUGAUGGUAUUAGUGCCAUCAUGGCAAGAUAAGGGAAUAUAGGUUAUUAAACGUCAGCUUCAUUUGGCAUGAGCCUUUAAAACAGUUCUCUCUCUCUCUCUUCCUCUCUCUCUCUCUCUCUCUCUCUCUGAAUUAUAUCUUGAUAGCAAGAUUGCCAAACAACAACAAAAAAGCAGUCUCUUUCCAUUUUGCUGACACAGGCACUCACUAGUUCACAUCUGGAAUAUGAGAUCAUUUCC